rnacentral:rRNA from 1 species
UACGUAGGGUGCAAGCGUUAAUCGGAAUUACUGGGCGUAAAGCGUGCGCAGGCGGUUCGGAAAGAGAGGUGUGAAAUCCCAGGGCUUAACCUUGGAACUGCACUUCUAACUACCGGGCUAGAGUACGUCAGAGGGGGGUAGAAUUCCACGUGUAGCAGUGAAAUGCGUAGAGAUGUGGAGGAAUACCGAUGGCGAAGGCAGCCCCCUGGGAUGAUACUGACGCUCAUGCACGAAAGCGUGGAGAGCAAACAGG